UACGUAGGGCGCAAGCGUUGUCCGGAAUUAUUGGGCGUAAAGAGCUCGUAGGCGGCUUGUCACGUCGGGUGUGAAAGCCCGGGGCUUAACCCCGGGUCUGCAUUCGAUACGGGCUGGCUAGAGUGUGGUAGGGGAGAUCGGAAUUCCUGGUGUAGCGGUGAAAUGCGCAGAUAUCAGGAGGAACACCGGUGGCGAAGGCGGAUCUCUUGGCCAUUACUGACGCUGAGGAGCGAAAGCGUGGGGAGCGAACAGG
rnacentral:rRNA from 1 species